UUCACACACAAGCACAAGUACACAACUACUCUUAUUAUAGGACCACUCUCUUCAAUGGUGACCAAAGACAGUUACAGUUACACACACACACACACAAACACAGGGAGUUUAAAAGAAGUUUUAGAACCUAGUAUAUUUUAGAGCCCUUUUUAUGAUUUCUUCUUUCUCUUCCAUGUGCUAAGUUUUGUUUUCUCUAUUCUUCACCUUUUUGUUGUUGUUGUUAUUGUUGUUUUGCCUUUCUUUCUUUCUUUCCACUGUUUGACCUUUCGGUCUUUGUCUGGGGCAUGACAACACAAGCUUGAAACUUUAAAACAGCGUUGCUGUAUUGGGAAUCAGCUGCUUCUCUUACUGUUUUUGUCUAUUGGAUUGGUGUGGUUCUUCUUGGAUCCAAUUCUUAAGUUCUUGAAAAGAUACACCUUUUCGCUUCUGUGAACAGUGAAGGAGGUAUUCCUGAGUAGAGCUGAGCUGCUUUGAUACCAAACUUUAUUUCUUGUGAGGACCGUGGAAAAUAGAGGUUUAUAUAAUCUGGUGAACCGUCAUUUUCAUGAUAUCUAGUUGGAAUCAGAGGAUGGAAAGUAGAGUUAUCUACUGUUGAUGCGACUUUAGUCCAUAGAAGCAGAAGAUGGAAAAUAGAUUUGUCAAUGCUCGUAAAGAUGGCCAGCAAGAAGAUUCAUUGCAUAAGUUGAGCAAGACCAGAGAAUUGAGUGGAGAAGAAAGUCUGGAUUUUUCUGAGUCAAAAUCAAAAAAGUUGGUGAGAAGAGUAAAUUCGCCACGUGCAAUAAUUUUAAAUUUUAAGCAAUCUCAAAUUCGCAAAAGUUGCAAUGAGAAUUCUUUACUUCGAAGUACUCAUGGAUUGGACAGUAGGAUUCCGAAGCAUUUGGUAAGUAUAGAUGAAAAAUAUCUUCGUCGUUGCCUGGGAUUGAUUCAUAUCAGUGCAUCAAAAGCAGCACGAUGCAGUACAUCUAUGAAUUUGAGCUCUCUGAAGAUGAGCAUUUUGUCUGACAGCUUAAAUCCAGCUAAAAUUGAAAAUAGAUAUUCAUGUGAUUCGGCUAGGUUCAUUUUUGAAUGUCCGUUGGAAUCUGGGACUGGGGGUGUAGCUGUAAGCCCUGCAGGACGAUGGAUUGUAGGUACAAUUAUGGGGAGCAAGAGUAUGAUGAACGUAUUGAAGAGCCCGUUGUUUCAUCAAUUUGGUGCCUUAGAUGGCAAUGCCAACUUCACAAGAUCGAAUUUGAAUGAUAUUAAAGGUUCGAUAUGCUAUGAUAUUGUGGACUCUCCCAGUGGGUUAAGUAUAUCUUCACCACAGAAGACAAAUAAGGAACCUCCAUCUUUGGGAAGCCAGACAGAUGGAUCUGAUAGGGCACAUAAAAGGCGCGUUUCAAUGUCUAGCACAAACUCUACAUGUUCUGAUCAGUCUUCUUCUUCUUCUGCUUCUGCCAGUGUUUCUCAGGGGAUGCUCCAAUGUACAUGGAAGGGGGGGCUUCCUCAUUUUGUAUUCUCUGCAGAUGAUCAGAGGGAGAUCUACCUAGCCAAUGUGUGGAAGGUUGAGUCAACAGAUGAUAAGGCUGUAGACUAUAUGUACUCAUUCCAUUCAAAAAAGGGUGGCCAGAAGGACCUAUCAAUUUGUGAUAAUGAGUCACAACUUGUUGGUAAGAUGAAGGUUUCUGCAUCUUUCACCCUCUGCCCGGACAAUUCCAAAAUCAUGGAGACUGAGUUUGUUUUGUAUGGUGCUAAUGAAAAUUGUGACAUAGAGACAAACACUUCAAAGCAUAGUCUGAGGAAGAACAAGGGCUUGUCAAAGAAGGUGGCGGAAGCUUUCAAAUUGAGUCAUUUGUCUAAACAGAGAAAUGUCUCCAAGUUUGGGGGAUCUAGUGCCAUACUGGAAAACUGUUCCUGGGACCCAUCCUUAGAUACAAGACGCAACCUUGAUGCAUUAGGUAGGGCCAAAAAGUUGGAAAAUCAUCUUCUGCCAAAUUUUGAAUUGGCUGCCAUUGUUGUGAAAGACCACCUCCGUGACAAACGUCAGGAAGAAGUUGGGGGUUGGGGCUUGAAAUUUCUCAAGAAAUCAGGGCCUAGGCAAGCAGUUGCUUCUUCAGAAGCAUCGGUACAUUGUGAAAGUUCUGGUCGAAAUACUGGUGAUUGCUCUACAAGUGUGGACAUUCUAAUCCCAGAGGGUCUUCAUGGUGGGCCAAUAACAAAAAAUGGUGGCCCUUCCACUCUCACUGAAAGAUGGAGAUCUGGUGGACACUGUGACUGUGGUGGUUGGGAUAUUGGGUGUCCUCUCACGAUACUUAAAACUAGAUCAACCAAAGAUGAGAUUUUGCCUGAAGUGGAGAUAGAGGAGUGUAAGCCAUUUGAUAUUUUUAAACAGGGUUCACAGCACACAGCUCCCACAUUGAGGAUGGAAACUGUUCGUGAUGGUUUAUAUUUUAUUCAUUUUCAACCUCCUCUAUCAGCUUUGCAGUCUUUCUCGAUCGCGGUGGCAAUUAUCCACAUUCGGAGUCCCACACUCCGGCCCAAAAAAUUGCAAGAGUUGAAGUAGCAAGAUCCAGGAUGGUGUUUAUUUUGUAGUUGUAAACCUUACUGUGUUAUAGCAGUGGUGCUACUCAGAAGGAGGUCACAGCUUGUGGGUUACUUUCUAAUAGAGAUAUCUACAAGCUCAAUCUAAAAGCAUGUUGAUGGAGAACCAAGAAACUAGAAGGGAGGAAGCCCCAGAAUUGUUGCUUUCAGAGAAGAAGAUAUCACUUGAAAGUUGCACAAGUUCAAUCACUAGGUAUGACAGUCAUUAGGAUGUCAAAUGAACAAGGGAGCAUACCUAAAGGCAGUUGGGCUUGAACCUCCUCCAUAAUCGUAGCUUCCAGACUUGACAACUGUGGUAAAUGUAUUUAAAUUAUUCAAAUGAUUCCUAGUAUCAGUACCUUCUUUCACGUGUAGUUAACACAACUCUUUUUUCAUGUACAAUUGAUUUGCAAGCAACUUUGACAUAUGUAUACCUUUUCCACAAUUAUUGCGGUUUUAUUUGAUAAGUACUUUCCUUGCUGCACUAGGAUAUCUUUGAUAAUACUUUGCCAAAAGUGAGUUUUCUAGUCUAACGGCUUCAUGGCCUUUUCAAUCCUUGAUGCACUAAGAGAUCUUUGAACUUUUUCCGUCAUGGAUUGGACUUAAUAGUUACCAAAUCCUCAUCAAAACUUAUACCCUUCUCUUCUUGGUUUGAUGCUUCCAUGAAGUCACUGUCAUUUAGAUGCUUCCCUGAAGUCACUGCCAUUUGGAUUAGAUAUGUGAUCUUGCUAAAAUUUUAAUUUUGCUGUGUUAAGUGGUCUGAUCAUGACUAAUGAGAACAAGAAGGGAAAAUUUGUAAGCUGCUUCCUUGAUUUAAUUAUAAAAUUCUCAAACCCUAUAACCUAUUUUUUUUUACCAGUAUAGUUACCUUGAUUUUUUUUUUUUUGGCUGAAUUAGUUAUCUUGAUUAUUUUGUAGUUUGUGAUUGCGUAUUGAUUUUUGGCUGUGUUCUUGAUUCAUGGGAACCUCCUUUAUUUAUUUAUCUUGGCUUAAUUGUUACAGGCUGCUCCACUUGUGAAAACCUUGCACCUCUUGUACCUCAUUUGUAAGGUUUGUUAUGGUAUGAUAUGAUAGUGGUCACCACCAGACUCAGUUGCCUCCAUUCAAAAGACUAACGAAUGUACCUUUUACUGUGCUGUAUGCUGGAAUUAUUUACCAUAGAAUUGAUCCAAGGCGCAUGGAACAAUUAAGUGAAUAGUGCCUAAUGUUGGGUCAUUUUCUACACCUCCGUAAGACUAGCUUAAGCCCUUUACUUUAUGUAAUGAGACAGUAAACCUUAUCAUCAUUGAUGUAUAGUAUACCCUCUUCUUAGCUUCUAUUCAAAAGUAGUCAAUUCCUUGAAUCAAACCCAAAGGAAUAGAUUGUAACCUACUUGCUCUGGUCUAGUUCCAACUCUCAAUUAAGUAAAAAUUGUCAUAGCUUUCAUAUAGCAGCAGUUUAAAAGUUUGGAGAGAAACCUUUUCCAUCAGAAAGUCAAAUGAUACUUCAAAUUACAAUUUGAAAGUACUCUAUAUGUAUGAGAAUGUACUUGAACAUGAUGAGGAACUUCAUGAUUAGUUUA